CAAGCUAAGAAAUGCCUAGGAGGCAUUUCUCCUCCUAGGGCCUAGGAGGAGAAAAAUUAAAGACUUACACUCUUAGAAUAUCUGCCAGGCACCCACAGGACCCUCAGGACUCAUGACAAAUUAUCUCUCCCAAAAUGUAUCCUUAUCUGGUAACAUUUAAUGAUUAUGGGAAUGAAGUUUACAGAAACCAAUUUAUCAGCAUCAGAAUUCAAGCUCUCAAAUUCUCAAACCCAUAGGAGCAGAUGAUGAAUAGCCUGCAAUGAUCAUCAACAUGCACGUGUUGGACAGCCAGGGGACUCAGUAGCUGCUCAGCCUGAGAAGGUGCAGCACAGGACUCAGGGUGAUGAAAGCCCUGCCGCUGGAGUUUUAAACGUCCAUCAAGAAAAAAAAAAAGAGAAGAUGAAUAAUUAUCACACAGGGUUUAAGUAUCUGCUCCCUGGAAAUGACAUAGAUCAUUUCUAUUUAUAUAUCUGAGUUGAGGUACAUUACUUAACUGCAUUUAUCAAGAUUGGGAGUUAUCAAAAUGGAACCCAGAGAGUUCUCAUACAAACAGUGCUGAUAAUGAAGUGGUAAGACUAUU